AUGCCGGCCGAUGACGCAACUAAUAAUAAUGGCAUGGCUUUGGAGCGCCCCACUCCAGUGACAAACAAUCGGGGUGAAGAAGAAGAAGAUUGCAUAGGAUGCUGCUUCCGGAUCCAAAGGAACAAUCGACAGACGUCACAAAGAUCCACCUCUGGCUGCAUCAGAAAGUUAUGCUCCUGGCGCCACCAGCGAGUGCACCCCGCUAAUGGGUCGGGGACAGAAGAAACCCCGGGCUCCCAUGAAAGGCUGCCCAGCACCGCAGGAGGAAUAGAGGCUCCAAGUGGCUGCACAAUGCCGGCCGAUGACGCAACUAAUAAUAAUGGCAUGGCUUUGGAGCGCCCCACUCCAGUGACAAACAAUCGGGUGAAGAAGAAGAAGGUGGGUCUUCCUUGCGGGCAUUGGGUGGAGAGCAGCCAGAUCCUGGGUUCCUUUUGGAAAGGGGGUAGUCUGGGAUGUGGAGCAGGCAGCUCUUUCCCAGUCAUAGUGAUGCCCUGUGGCACCUGCCCUGGACACAAGUCUCUUGUGUGAUUCCUUGGGUUGUGACACAUUCCGAGGACAGGGAGUGAGGUCCAUGUGUGAGCACAUGUGGUGUAAGUAUCUGUUCCUCAUGAGCUCUCUCCUAUUUAUACAGAAAAUACACCGCUCAACGUUCCUUAAGAAACAUCCCAUCACCUCUUGCGUACCACCCCUAUAGGCAUGCAUUCGCCCCUCACCACUGCUGUCCCCACGUUGGCUUAAUUUCCCGUGCUUCAGGUGGAGAUGGUGCAGAGAGAGUUGGCCCAAGCUCUUGAC
rnacentral:lncRNA from 1 species